UACGUAAGGUCCGAGCGUUGUCCGGAAUUAUUGGGCGUAAAGGGCUCGUAGGCGGUUCGUCACGUCGGGCGUGAAAACUCGGAGCUUAACUCCGAGCCUGCUUCCGAUACGGGCAGACUAGAGGUAGGCAGGGGAGAGCGGAACUCCUGGUGUAGCGGUGGAAUGCGCAGAUAUCAGGAAGAACACCGGUGGCGACGGCGGCUCUCUGGGCCUUACCUGACGCUGAGUAGCGAAAGCGUGGGUAGCGAACAGG
rnacentral:rRNA from 1 species